rnacentral:rRNA from 1 species
GGCUCAGAGCUAACGUGGGCGGCGUGCCUAACACAUGCAAGUCGAACGCGCCGGAGCAAUCCGGUGAGUGGCGAACGGGUGAGUAACACGUGGGUCAUCUCCCCUCGAGUGAGGAAUAAGCUCCCGAAAGGGAGUCUAAUACUGCAUAACGUCCCGGGACAUAAGCCCCGGGACCAAAGCCGUAAGGCGCUUGAGGAUGAGCCUGCGUCCUAUUAGCUAGUUGGUAGGGUAAUGGCCUACCAAGGCGAAGAUGGGUAGCCGGCCUGAGAGGGUGAACGGCCACACUGGGACUGAGACACGGCCCAGACUCCUACGGGAGGCAGCAGUGAGGAAUUUUGCGCAAUGGGGGAAACCCUGACGCAGCGACGCCGCGUGGAGGAUGAAGGCCUUCGGGUCGUAAACUCCUGUCAGAGGUGAAGAAUACCCGCAAGGGUUUGACGGUAACCUCAAAGGAAGCCCCGGCUAACUACGUGCCAGCAGCCGCGGUAAUACGUAGGGGGCAAACGUUGCUCGGAAUUACUGGGCGUAAAGGGUGAGUAGGCGGCUGGGCAAGUCAAGGAUGAAAUCCCGCGGCUUAACUGCGGAACUGUCCUUGAAACUGCCUAGCUUGAGGAUAGUUGAAGAGAAGGGAAUUCCCGGUGGAGCGGUGAAAUGCGUAGAUAUCGGGAGGAACACCUGAGGCGUAGGCGCUUCUCUAAGCUACUCCUGACGCUGAAUCACGAAAGCUAGGGGAGCAAACGGGAUUAGAUACCCCGGUAGUCCUAGCCUUAAACGAUGGAUGCUAGAUAUUCCUGCACUCAUGUGGGAGUGUCGAAGCUAACGCGUUAAGCAUCCCGCCUGGGGAGUACGGUCGCAAGGCUGAAACU